rnacentral:rRNA from 1 species
UACAGAGGGGGCAAGCGUUAUUCGGAAUUAUUGGGCGUAAAGGGCGCGUAGGCGGCCUGGCAAGUGGAAGGUGAAAUCCCUCGGCUUAACCGAGGAACUGCCUCCCAAACUGCUUGGCUUGAGACCGGGAGAGGUGAGUGGAAUUCCCAGUGUAGCGGUGAAAUGCGUAGAUAUUGGGAGGAACACCAGUGGCGAAGGCGGCUCACUGGACCGGUACUGACGCUGAUGCGCGAAAGCGUGGGAGCAAACGGG